CAACCCAAAUCCGUAAAAAUCACCUACAUCUACAUUCCCUUUCUAUUCAUCCAAAUGCCCAACCCUAGACAGCAGCUGAGCAGCUUCUUCCAAAUUUCUCAUCCAAAGCGGCAAAGCCUGUGAUUUCUCCAUGUUAAUUUCUGAUUCUGCUCCAUCUUCGUACGGUCGUACCUCCUUCUUCUUCUUCUUUCGCGAGUGCAUUAAUGCUAUUUAUGUAUUGGAUUGCAAAUUUUGUGGUGCCAAAGUUCAUCUUAAAGGAUCUUCAAGAUGACAGUACUAACAACAAUAACAAGACUGAUGAAAAAGAUGUUCUAUGAACAUUAGCUACAAAGCACAAGAUUCCCUCGUUCUUGAUUUGUAAUCGCAAGAUGCCUCAGGUUAAGACAUUGUUGACAAAAAUAUGGCCAAGCAUCACCCUGACUUGAUCAUGUGCAGGAAGCAGCCAGGAAUAGCUAUUGAGCGUCUUUGCGAAAAAUGUGAUGUACAGAAUCUUGUUAUCCAUAAGAUUGGUCUGCUGGAUCAUACUGUUAAACUAACAUGAUAAUCAUCUCGUCAUUGUUAUUCUUGAUGCAUUCUUUUGAAGAAAACCAUGAUAAACUGCAGCAUCUUUUGAAGAAAACCAAGAAAAUAGAACAGCAGCUUCCAUUGGUAGGUUACCCUCAGUGACGUUUUGCCAGUUUCUGUAAUGCCGGGAUUUUCAUCAUUGGAGUUAUAUGCGUCGUUGAAGUUGGGAGAUUUUGAAUAAGCCAUAAUGUACAUAUCUUUUAUAAUUAGUUUGAGACUCAGUUGUAUUCGAUCCAUUGUUUAGUUUGUUAUUAAAAAUCCUCACAUCUCUUAUUAUUGCUAUUGUGA